rnacentral:tRNA from 1 species
GUACUCGUAGCUCAGUGGUAGAGCAGUUGCCUCUUAAGCAAUUGGUCGAGGGUUCGAAUCCCUCCGAGUGCACCA